rnacentral:lncRNA from 1 species
AAUAAAUGAAUGUUGCAUUUAUUUUUUUUAAAUAGCAAACCCUGGUCUAGUGAUCACCACCCACUCAAGCUGUAUAAAAUAAGGCUGGAAAUUUGAAAGGGGACUCCUUCAAUAGAAUUACCAAGAAACUUAUCAGCUGAGUAAAGUAGUGUGGCCUUCCAUUCCAUGGGUACCAAGCCACAAGAAACGGGUCCCAAGAGCACCACCCAGAGAGACCACACGGGCCUGCAAGGGGAUGUGAGGUAGUCGUCUAUUAGAGCUGUGCACGAACCUGAGGCACGUGGGCAGGUUGCUCUAGCUCACCCUCUGGCGAUACAAAACACAUGCUUUAUG